rnacentral:rRNA from 1 species
UACGGGGGGGGCAAGCGUUGUUCGGAAUUACUGGGCGUAAAGGGCUCGUAGGCGGCCAACUAAGUCAGACGUGAAAUCCCCAGGCUCAGCCUGGGAACUGCGUCUGAUACUGGAUGGCUUGAAUCCGGGAGAGGGAUGCAGAAUUCCAGGUGUAGCGGUGAAAUGCGUAGACAUCUGGAGGAACACCGGUGGCGAAGGCGGCGUUCUGGACUGCAACUGACACUGAGGAACGAUAUCCAGGUGAGCAAACGGG